GUUCCCCAAUGGGAGCUUGCGCCAGACGUCAUAACGGAACCACGCAGCCCCGCGCGUUGACCAAUCAGGACACGACGCGUCUUGAGCAGAUGCCCCUUUCCGCAGAAGAGGUUGGACUGUCUGGGUUCGUGGUGGUGGAGGUCAUGGAAGGAAUUUCGGAGGCAGUGCACUUGCGCAGCAGUGGUCACGCCUUUACAGCCAUAGGGGAUAACUACAUACUGGAUCAGGCCAGCCAACAUGCUUCCAGACCCACAGCUUGAAGAGGCAAAGAUCACGACGAUGGCAGCACGAUGAGUUCCACUCCCGACGACAGCAGCCCUGACUGAGUCAGAGCUUGCCUUUUAUCCUCCCCAGCAUGGCCAGGCUCCGCCCUUGACCACGCACCCUUCUGGAUCCCCCAGAAGGCUCCAGGCUUCGCCCACAUCUCCCACUGGUAGACCGGGCUGCUACCCAUAAUCCCAUUCUCUACCAGUCCCCAGCGCUACGUGCUCCAGUGACUCAUUCUAUGUCACUACACAUGUUUUACGAUUGAGAUCUAGAGAGGUGCAGGCUGCAGCAAAGGUUAAGAACCACUGCUCUAAAAUGUGGAGGGAAAAACUGGAGAAAAAUCCAUGCGACCACGGGGAGAGCAC